rnacentral:lncRNA from 1 species
AUCCCUAACACUCAGAAAGCAUAAAGUCACAGGAAUGAACAUGCAUGCACAAUCAUAAGUAAGAUUUGGUCCACAUCUUGUGAUCUAAUGUUUGUACGGUUUUCUUUGUAACCAUCAUUUGCAUAUGAAUGCACGAGAAACAAACAAUCUAGUUGUCUCCAAAUGUCAAUAUGCUGCCAAGACUAGGGACCCUCCAAUAGCACCACUUCUACCAUUAAGUGAAGACUCUGAUCAACAAAGAUAAGUAGUACGGGAACAAGCAUAAACUUGCACCUUGGAUUUUCACGAAGACACAAAGCCUUAUGCAACAAUCAUAAUCGUAUGGGGGCAAGGGGAAGUUUAUGAAGGUUUUGCAUGUCAUAGGGUAUGAUUGGCUACUAACAUUUCCUAAGAUGGGUUUGUAGAGAGUUCCACUGUAUUAUGCAAUCUGCAACUAUAUACGAUUUGAAGAGAAGAGAUAAGGGCAAUUGGAAUGAUAGAUAAGAGGAAAGAGGAACAAAUGCAGAGGAAAGAAAAGGAUAAAAAAAGAAUACUAGAGAAGAUGGGAGAUAUGUUUUCAGAGCUGAAUGAAACAGUAGCUUAAGUGAAAGAAGGGAGAAAGGUGAAGAAUUAAAGAAUGAGAAGUGGGAAGAGCAAAGUUCACUAUCUCGAUACCAGACCCUAUACCAGUACGAUGCUGGUGCAGUGUCAGUACACUCAGUAUAGGAGUAGGUUUGGCAUACUGAGACUCAAUAUGCCUCCAUGCCGAGUCAUGCU